ACACCUCAACUCCUCAUGGCUUGCCAUGAUGAGCUUGGACAUUGGGGGACUUGCUGGCCUGCAGUCAGCUCCUCUCAAAUGAAUCAGCUUGCCAGUGUUUGGUGGCACCACAGGUGUGAUAAAUAUCUACGCUUGUGGUGUUUCCACCAGGUGUCCUCCAGCAAUGGGGGCCUCUGGAGCUCAUAAACGUCUCUCUGGGGACAGCUUUUUGAAC
rnacentral:misc_RNA from 1 species